GGGUUGUGAGGUUAAGUGACUAAGCGUACACGGUGGAUGCCUAGGCAGUCAGAGGCGAUGAAGGGCGUGCUAAUCUGCGAAAAGCGUCGGUAAGGUGAUAUGAACCGUUACAACCGGCGAUACCCGAAUGGGGAAACCCAGUGUGUUUCGACACACUAUCAUGUCAUGAAUACAUAGUGGCAUGAGGCGAACCGGGGGGAACUGAAACAUCUAAGUACCCCGAGGAAAAGAAAUCAACCGAGAUUCCCCCAGUAGCGGCGAGCGAACGGGGAGGAGCCCAGAACCUGAAUCGGCUUGUGUGUUAGUGGAAGCGUCUGGAAAGUCGCGCAGUAAAGGGUGAUAGCCCCGUACACUAAAAUGCACAGGUCGUGAGUUCGAUGAGUAGGGCGGGACACGUGACAUCCUGUCUGAAUAUGGGGGGACCAUCCUCCAAGGCUAAAUACUCCUGACUGACCGAUAGUGAACCAGUACCGUGAGGGAAAGGCGAAAAGAACCCCGGCGAGGGGAGUGAAAUAGAACCUGAAACCGUGUACGUACAAGCAGUGGGAGCACCUUCGUGGUGUGACUGCGUACCUUUUGUAUAAUGGGUCAGCGACUUAUAUUUUGUAGCAAGGUUAACCGUAUAGGGGAGCCGUAGGGAAACCGAGUCUUAACUGGGCGAUUAGUUGCAAGGUAUAGACCCGAAACCCGGUGAUCUAGCCAUGGGCAGGUUGAAGGUUGGGUAACACUAACUGGAGGACCGAACCGACUAAUGUUGAAAAAUUAGCGGAUGACUUGUGGCUGGGGGUGAAAGGCCAAUCAAACCGGGAGAUAGCUGGUUCUCCCCGAAAGCUAUUUAGGUAGCGCCUCGUGAACUCAUCUUCGGGGGUAGAGCACUGUUUCGGCUAGGGGGCCAUCCCGGCUUACCAAACCGAUGCAAACUCCGAAUACCGAAGAAUGUUAUCACGGGAGACACACGGCGGGUGCUAACGUCCGUCGUGAAGAGGGGAAACAACCCAGACCGCCAGCUAAGGUCCCAAAGUCAUGGUUAAGUGGGAAACGAUGUGGGAAGGCACAGACAGCCAGGAUGUUGGCUUAGAAGCAGCCAUCAUUUAAAGAAAGCGUAAUAGCUCACUGGUCGAGUCGGCCUGCGCGGAAGAUGUAACGGGGCUAAACCAUGCACCGAAGCUGCGGCAGCGACGCUUAGGCGUUGUUGGGUAGGGGAGCGUUCUGUAAGCCGUUGAAGGUGGCCUGUGAGGGUUGCUGGAGGUAUCAGAAGUGCGAAUGCUGACAUAAGUAACGAUAAAGCGGGUGAAAAGCCCGCUCGCCGGAAGACCAAGGGUUCCUGUCCAACGUUAAUCGGGGCAGGGUGAGUCGACCCCUAAGGCGAGGCUGAAAAGCGUAGUCGAUGGGAAACAGGUUAAUAUUCCUGUACUUGGUGUUACUGCGAAGGGGGGACGGAGAAGGCUAGGCUGGCCGGGCGACGGUUGUCCCGGUUUAAGCGUGUAGGGGGUGUGACCUGGUAAAUCCGGUUGCAUAUCAACCCUGAGGCGUGAUGACGAUGCACUACGGUGCAGAAGUAGUUGAUGCCCUGCUUCCAGGAAAAUCCUCUAAGCUCCAGGUAACAUUGAAUCGUACCCCAAACCGACACAGGUGGUCAGGUAGAGAAUACCAAGGCGCUUGAGAGAACUCGGGUGAAGGAACUAGGCAAAAUGGUGCCGUAACUUCGGGAGAAGGCACGCUGGCAUGUAGGUGAAGUCCCUUGCGGAUGGAGCUGAAGCCAGUCGAAGAUACCAGCUGGCUGCAACUGUUUAAUAAAAACACAGCACUGUGCAAACACGAAAGUGGACGUAUACGGUGUGACGCCUGCCCGGUGCUGGAAGGUUAAUUGAUGGGGUCAGCCGCAAGGCGAAGCUCUUGAUCGAAGCCCCAGUAAACGGCGGCCGUAACUAUAACGGUCCUAAGGUAGCGAAAUUCCUUGUCGGGUAAGUUCCGACCUGCACGAAUGGCGUAAUGAUGGCCAGGCUGUCUCCACCCGAGACUCAGUGAAAUUGAACUCGCUGUGAAGAUGCAGUGUACCCGCGGCAAGACGGAAAGACCCCGUGAACCUUUACUAUAGCUUGACACUGAACAUUGAGCCUUGAUGUGUAGGAUAGGUGGGAGGCUUUGAAGCGUGGACGCCAGUCUGCGUGGAGCCAUCCUUGAAAUACCACCCUUUAAUGUUUGAUGUUCUAACUCUGCCCCGUAAUCCGGGGUGAGGACAGUGUCUGGUGGGUAGUUUGACUGGGGCGGUCUCCUCCCAAAGAGUAACGGAGGAGCACGAAGGUUAGCUAAUCACGGUCGGACAUCGUGAGGUUAGUGCAAAGGCAUAAGCUAGCUUGACUGCGAGAGUGACGGCUCGAGCAGGUACGAAAGUAGGUCUUAGUGAUCCGGUGGUUCUGAAUGGAAGGGCCAUCGCUCAACGGAUAAAAGGUACUCCGGGGAUAACAGGCUGAUACCGCCCAAGAGUUCAUAUCGACGGCGGUGUUUGGCACCUCGAUGUCGGCUCAUCACAUCCUGGGGCUGAAGUAGGUCCCAAGGGUAUGGCUGUUCGCCAUUUAAAGUGGUACGCGAGCUGGGUUUAGAACGUCGUGAGACAGUUCGGUCCCUAUCUGCCGUGGGCGUUGGAAGAUUGAGAGGGGUUGCUCCUAGUACGAGAGGACCGGAGUGAACGCACCACUGGUGUUCGGGUUGUCAUGCCAAUGGCAUUGCCCGGUAGCUAAGUGCGGAAAAGAUAAGCGCUGAAAGCAUCUAAGCGCGAAACUUGCCUCAAGAUGAGUCUUCCCUGGGACUUUAAGUCCCCUGAAGGAACGUUUAAGACUAAGACGUUGAUAGGCUGGGUGUGUAAGUGCAGCGAUGCAUUGAGCUAACCAGUACUAAUGAUCCGUGAGGCUUAACCUUACAACACCGAAGGUGUUUUAG
rnacentral:rRNA from 1 species